GGCUCGUUGGUCUAGGGGUAUGAGUUUUGUUUCCUUGCUCCAAGGGUAUGUGCGUGCGAGAGGUCCCGGGUUCAAAUCCCGGACGAGCCC